AGAGUCGAUAACAACCCGAAGCCUGUAGUCUAACCGCAAGGAGGACGCAGUCGAAGGUGGGAUUGAUAAUUAGGGUGAAGUCGUAACAAGGUAUC
rnacentral:rRNA from 1 species